GAUGAACGCUGGCGGCGUGCCUAAUACAUGCAAGUCGAGCGGUAAGGCUUCUUCGGAAGUACACGAGCGGCGGACGGCUGAGUAAUGCAUAGGAAUGUACCCCAAACUGAGGGAUAAGCCAUCGAAAGAUGGUCUAAUACCGCAUGUGCUCUUCGGAGUAAAGCUACGGCGGUUUGGGAGCAGCCUAUGUCCGAUUGGCUAGUUGGUGAGGUAAUAGCUCACCAAGGCGACGAUCGGUAGCGGGUCUGAGAGGAUGAUCCGCCAGACUGGAACUGAGAUACGGUCCAGACUCCUACGGGAGGCAGCAGUAGGGAAUUUUCCACAAGGGGCGAAAGCCUUAUGGAGCAACGCCGCGUGCAGGAUGAAGGUUUUAGGAUCGUAAACUGCUUUUAUAUGUGACGAAUAUGACGGUAGCAUAUGAAUAAGGAUCGGCUAACUCCGUGCCAGCCGCCGCAGUAA
rnacentral:rRNA from 1 species